UCUCGAAUGUCUGACGAGUGCGCCCUCUGGGAAAAUAAAAUGAUUAAGCGCGGAAGCUUUUGCUCGCACUUCUGGUUCUUGCUUCGUUUCGUCUACAUUCAAAGGCUAUCAUCAGAAUCAAGCAGCUACCAUGGCUGAUUUACUGCCCAAGGAAGUCGAAAAGGCACAAUUCGCCUUCUCCAUCUACGAUGCUGAUGGCUCAAAUGUCAUUGAUGCUUGUGAUUUAGGAAAUGUUCUUCGUGCUUUAAAUUGUAAUCCAACAAAUGCAACUAUUCAAAAAUUCGGUGGCACUGAAAAACGUGGCGAAAAAACAAUGAGUGUUGAGGAAUUUUUGCCAAUUUUCAGUGACGCCAAAAAAGACAAGGACCAAGGAUGCUAUGAGGAUUUCCUCGAGUGUUUGAAACUCUACGACAAACAGGAAAAUGGAACCAUGCUUUUGGCUGAACUUUCCCAUUUAUUAGUAACAUUGGGUGAAAAAUUGGAUGAAUCCCAAGUCGAGGAAGUUUUCAGAGACUGCUUGGACCCUGAAGAUGAAGAUGGUUUCAUCCCCUACACCCCUUUCAUCAAGAAAUUUAUGGCGUAAAAUGUGUGUCGAGAGAUUCAUUAAUCAACAAAUAAGAGAUGUCGUCAGUCCAUUCCUGAAACGACUGUGCGAAAGAGCAGCUGCCGGCUCUGAAGAUUAAUUCGUCAUUAUUUUUUUUUCCUCCUCUACGCAACAUUAUUGGGAAACUGUUAUACGGUUUUAUUCAACACUUCCAUAUAUUAUAUAUAAUUAAGACGAAUGCGAAAAAAUUCCAUUCGACUUUUUUACAAUCAUUUACACAUUCAUCUAUAAUUAAAUAACAAAAAAAGAAGCGAAAAAAAAAUCGAAAAAUAUAUUAAUUUAUCCCACAGGAA